UUAAUAAUAGUUGACCGUCAUCUAAAUAAAUUAAAAAAAAGAACAAGCGGGAGUUCAAGCGCUUUAUUUUCACUAAAUUUCUAAAACUUCUUUUCCCUCAUUAGCCACUCUCAGUCCCUCUCAUCCGGUUCCCCUCUCUCUCCUCUCUGUUCCUCGUCUCUCUCAAUCUCUAUCUCAAUUCACCUCCUUUUUUCGAACUCAUCUACAAGCAGCGGCGAAUUUCGUUCCUCCUGUAAAAUUAGGGGUUUUUUUCAUGCCCCAAAAUCCAGCAGAAUUAGGAGAACAAAACAUGUUAUAUGACUGGUUAUAGUUGGUUAUAGUUGGUUUGGUGUUGGUAAUAUUUUAUUUUAGCCAGUUGAAUACUCCUUUGGUUGUGAUCAAUGGAAAUUGAAACUGUAAGUCUUUUCCCCUCUUAAUCUGCUAUGUUAUCUCUCAUUAAAAUUUUCCCUCUUAAUCUGCUAUGUUAAAUACUCAAGUGCUCGUAUGGGGUCUGCUACGGGUCAAAUACGGAGCACUUGUAUGAUUUUUAACUGGAGCACUUGAUGUUUUUUCCACUAGUGGUAUGUGCUUUUCCUGUAACUGUUGUUUGUUGCUGUUGUUAUUGAUGUUAUUAUUCUUACAAUGGUGAUUACUAGGUUGGUAUGGUGAAUUAAUUAGAUUUUCAGAUUCUAUAUGAUGUUUAAAAGAGAGUAUUUUGGUUUUAAGUUAUAACCUGAUAGAAUCGAGAAGGUUAUAUAGUGAACAUAAUCUUCAUUUUUCGGGUAUGGUAUGUUGUAGAGGUUUUGUGUUAGAAGUAGUAUCUCAUAUUCCCAUAAACUAUCUUGUUAUAACAAUGUCCAUUCUAAUCAUGGGACACAAUUCCUAUGACAUAAUGUUUCGAAAGAAUUGGGAUAUACCUAUACCUUCCUCGACCUCCCUGUUAAGGUUGCUAGUGUUUUGCCAGAAGUAGCGUGGCGCUUUUAUCAAAUUGAGAAGUAGCAGUAGCAGCAAAAUAAAAUUGGGGCACUCAAACAUCUGGAAGUCUCACCCUAAGAACUAUGGUCCUAGUUCUCGCGAUUAGUAAUCUUGUCUAGCUCUCUCUUUGUUACUAAAUUAUUUUUUUUCUUGUUUUGGCAUAUCAUCCGACAUGAAAAACUUACAUGACUUGGCAAGUUAGGAAUGCAACUACUUACCCCAAACCGUUCUGAUGUUUUGAUUUCAUUAUGCUACACAUGUAACCCUUGUAAUUAUAUAAUUUUUGCAGGGGAUAUAAUACUUUGUUGUUCAUUGGACAAGUCUGAUGAUAUGCUGUAAGGCGGCAAUGAUGAUGCUUAAAAAGGGCCGAUGACAUAAAAUGCUACUCAACAUGUCGAAAGUUGGAAACUUUUUUUUGUGCCUAUGUAGUUGUGGUUGUAAAGACUUGCGAAGAGAAUUGCAUUGCUAGUGUUUGAAUAUUGUUAUAUUGGUGUACUUUCUACUCUUCAAUAAGAAAUAGUUUGAUAUAAAAACAGUUUUUCAUGG